rnacentral:lncRNA from 1 species
UUUAAAAGUGUGUGUAAAAUUUUCUCUGAUUGGAUUGAAACUUGACGUGCGGUCUUAUUUAGAUAUAGGUAGGCCGCCUGCCAAAUUUCGUCGCAAUCGGAGUCCGUCUGGUACCCGAACAGUCGACCUUAGCGGCACCGUCUUCGGUUAUUCGUCGGACGUUUUAUCGGUGUUUUAAAACUCGUUGCCGCGCCGCACCAUUUCCCUCUCAUC